GGGAACAUACCCUUUUCUACGGAAUAGCUCUGGGAAACUGGAAUUAAUACCGUAUACGCCCUACGGGGGAAAGAUUUAUCGGGGAAGGAUUGGCCCGCGUUGGAUCAGCUAGUUGGUGGGGUAAAGGCCUACCAAGGCGACGAUCCAUAGCUGGUCUGAGAGGAUGAUCAGCCACAUUGGGACUGAGACACGGCCCAAACUCCUACGGGAGGCAGCAGUGGGGAAUAUUGGACAAUGGGCGCAAGCCUGAUCCAGCCAUGCCGCGUGAGUGAUGAAGGCCUUAGGGUUGUAAAGCUCUUUCACCGAUGAAGAUAAUGACGGUAGUCGGAGAAGAAGCCCCGGCUAACUUCGUGCCAGCAGCCGCGGUAAUACGAAGGGGGCUAGCGUUGUUCGGAAUUACUGGGCGUAAAGCGCACGUAGGCGGAUAUUUAAGUCAGGGGUGAAAUCCCAGAGCUCAACUCUGGAACUGCCUUUGAUACUGGGUAUCUUGAGUAUGGAAGAGGUAAGUGGAAUUGCGAGU
rnacentral:rRNA from 1 species